rnacentral:rRNA from 1 species
AGUCGAGGGGUAGCAUGAAGUAGCAAUACUUCGAUGACGACCGGCGCACGGGUGAGUAACACGUAUGCAACCUACCUUCCACAGGGGAAUAGCCCGGAGAAAUCCGAAUUAAUACCCCAUAACACAGGGAUACCGCAUGGUAAUAUUUGUUAAAGAUUAAUCGGUAGAAGAUGGGCAUGCGUUCCAUUAGCCAGUUGGUGAGGUAACGGCUCACCAAAGCAACGAUGGAUAGGGGAACUGAGAGGUUUAUCCCCCACACUGGAACUGAGACACGGUCCAGACUCCUACGGGAGGCAGCAGUGAGGAAUAUUGGUCAAUGGACGAGAGUCUGAACCAGCCAAGUCGCGUGAAGGAUGACUGCCCUACGGGUUGUAAACUUCUUUUGUAUGGGAGUAAAAAGAUGGACGUGUCCAUUAUUGCAAGUACCAUACGAAUAAGCAUCGGCUAACUCCGUGCCAGCAGCCGCGGUAAUACGGAGGAUGCAAGCGUUAUCCGGAUUUAUUGGGUUUAAAGGGUGCGUAGGCGGGACAAUAAGUCAGCGGUGAAAGUUUGAGGCUCAACCUUAAAAUUGCCGUUGAAACUGUCGUUCUUGAGUAUAUUUGAAGUAGGCGGAAUUCGUAGUGUAGCGGUGAAAUGCAUAGAUAUUACGAAGAACUCCAAUUGCGAAG